CGGGCGCUGAUUGAUUUGAUGAGACUCCGUUGUGACUUGUAUGAUCAGAUUAGCUCACAUGAACCUAGCGCACGCGCAGAGAGGCGGCCAUUGAAGCUCGGACGAAGCAAAGGCAAUUGCGAGGAUUGAGGCUCACGAGCCGCGACAGACGUCGAAGGCGGAACUGCUGAGCCAGCUGAAGGGACAUCAAGGCCGAGCUCGCUCUCCUUCACGCCGCCCGAGGUCACCGGAGGUGCGACGAACCAAGCUCUCCAACAUGUAAGUCUAGGCCUACGUCACGUAUCUAUGUGCAUUCGCGUGGUUCUAUGGCUUUGUUCGAGAAUGUGAUUGCAUUAGUGAAAUGGUAAGUAGUUUGAGCUAAUUUUGGAGGUAUCUUUGGUUCGGUAACGAGUAGGCGGUUUUGAGUUCAAAAGAGAAAUAUAUGGAUGAAGUAUUCAUCGACUCUGUUAACUAUAGUAUUGCCACCUCCUAUACUAAUUUUUGGCUAUCUUUCAAUCUUAUACGUUCUUUUUAUUUAUCCA